rnacentral:ncRNA from 1 species
UGAAUGGCUUUGAAGAGGACAAGUAGUGGAAGAAGCAUCCCAAGAGAGAGGGUGGCCGGUGAAAACCCUCGUUGCGGAUUCCAUGAAUACACCUUGGAGCUUCCCCGUUGAAAGCGGGGACGUCCAUCCGCGUUACGGAUUCGAGGCCGAAAGGCAACUAAGGUGGUACCGUGCAGAUCCUGCGCCCUUGGA